CACGUAGGGUGCGAGCGUUGUUCGGAUUCAUUGGGCGUAAAGGGUGCGUAGGUGGCGGGGUAAGUUGGAUGUGAAAUCUCGGGGCUCAACCCCGAAACUGCAUUCAAUACUGCUCCGCUCGAGUUCUGUAGAGGAGAUUGGAAUUUACGGUGUAGCAGUGAAAUGCGUAGAUAUCGUAAGGAACGCCAGUGGCGAAAGCGAAUCUCUGGGCAGCAACUGACGCUGAGGCACGAAGGCCAGGGGAGCAAACGGG
rnacentral:rRNA from 1 species